GACGAACGCUGGCGGCGUGCUUAACACAUGCAAGUCGAACGGAAAGGCCCUGCUUUUGUGGGGUGCUCGAGUGGCGAACGGGUGUGUAACACGUGAGUAACCUGCCCUUGACUUUGGGAUAACUUCAGGAAACUGGGGCUAAUACCGGAUAGGAGCUCCUGCUGCAUGGUGGGGGUUGGAAAGUUUCGGCGGUUGGGGAUGGACUCGCGGCUUAUCAGCUUGUUGGUGGGGUAGUGGCUUACCAAGGCUUUGACGGGUAGCCGGCCUGAGAGGGUGACCGGCCACAUUGGGACUGAGAUACGGCCCAGACUCCUACGGGAGGCAGCAGUGGGGAAUAUGGCACAAUGGGCGGAAGCCUGAUGAAGCAACGCCGCGUGCGGGAUGACGGCCUUCGGGUGGUAAACCGCUUUCGCCUGGGACGAAGCGUGAGUGACGGUAAUGGGUAAAGAAGCACCGGCUAACUACGUG
rnacentral:rRNA from 1 species